rnacentral:rRNA from 1 species
AUGAACGCUGGCGGCGUGCCUAAUACAUGCAAGUCGAGCGAACAGACGAGGAGCUUGCUCCUCUGACGUUAGCGGCGGACGGGUGAGUAACACGUGGAUAACCUACCUAUAAGACUGGGAUAACUUCGGGAAACCGGAGCUAAUACCGGAUAAUAUAUUGAACCGCAUGGUUCAAUAGUGAAAGACGGUUUUGCUGUCACUUAUAGAUGGAUCCGCGCCGCAUUAGCUAGUUGGUAAGGUAACGGCUUACCAAGGCGACGAUGCGUAGCCGACCUGAGAGGAUGAUCGGCCACACUGGAACUGAGACACGGUCCAGACUCCUACGGGAGGCAGCAGUAGGGAAUCUUCUGCAAUGGGCGAAAGCCUGACGGAGCAACGCCGCGUGAGUGAUGAAGGUCUUCGGAUCGUAAAACUCUGUUAUUAGGGAAGAACAAAUGUGUAAGUAACUAUGCACGUCUUGACGGUACCUAAUCAGAAAGCCACGGCUAACUACGUG